CCUACGGGAGGCAGCAGUGGGGAAUAUUGGGCAAUGGAGGCAACUCUGACCCAGCAACGCCGCGUGAGCGAUGAAGGUCUUCGGAUUGUAAAGCUCUUUAAGCGGGGACGAAGAAAGUGACUGUACCCGCAGAAUAAGCCUCGGCUAACUACGUGCCAGCAGCCGCGGUAAUACGUAGGGGGCAAGCGUUAUCCGGAUUUACUGGGUGUAAAGGGAGCGUAGACGGCAGCGCAAGUCUGAAGUGAAAUGCCGGGGCUUAACCCCGGAACUGCUUUGGAAACUGUGCAGCUAGAGUGCAGGGGAGGUAAGUGGAAUUCCUAGUGUAGCGGUGAAAUGCGUAGAUAUUAGGAGGAACACCAGUGGCGAAGGCGGCUUACUGGACUGUAACUGACGUUGAGGCUCGAAAGCGUGGGGAGCAAACAGGACUAGAUACCCCAGUAGUC
rnacentral:rRNA from 1 species